rnacentral:rRNA from 1 species
AGAUUGAACGCUGGCGGCAUGCUUUACACAUGCAAGUCGAACGGUAACAGGCCGCAAGGUGCUGACGAGUGGCGAACGGGUGAGUAAUGCAUCGGAACGUGCCCAGUCGUGGGGGAUAACGCAGCGAAAGCUGUGCUAAUACCGCAUACGAUCUAUGGAUGAAAGCGGGGGACCGAAAGGCCUCGCGCGAUUGGAGCGGCCGAUAUCAGAUUAGGUAGUUGGUGGGGUAAAGGCUCACCAAGCCAACGAUCUGUAGCUGGUCUGAGAGGACGACCAGCCACACUGGGACUGAGACACGGCCCAGACUCCUACGGGAGCAGCAGUGGGGUAAUUUGGACAAGUGGG